CCCUUAGAUGUCCUGGGCCGCACGCGCGCUACACUGAGUGUCUGAGAUAUGAGGCAUGCCUGGUCCGGCAAGGUCUAGGUAAUCACGAAAAGGCACAUCAUGCUUGGGAUUGAUUAUUGCAAAUUUUAAUCAUGAACGAGGAAUUCCUAGUAAGUGCAAGUCAACAGCUUGCGUUGAUUACGUCCCUGCCCCUUGUACACACCGCCCGUCGCUGCCCGGAACUGAGCCGUUUCGAGAAAGCCGGGGACUGACGGCUUGUGGGUGCGCAAGCGCUUCUUGCCGAUGGAAACCAGUUUAAUCGGUAUGGCUUGAACCGGGCAAAAGUCGUAACA
rnacentral:rRNA from 1 species